rnacentral:rRNA from 1 species
AAAUGUAGCCAUACUGGCUUGUCAAAGUCAGAUCUCAGAAGCUAAGCAAGGCCAAGCCUGGUUAGUACUUGGAUUGCUGGGAAUAUCAGGUGCCACAGUGG